rnacentral:rRNA from 1 species
CCCUUUAGAUGUUCUGGGCCGCACGCGCGCUACACUGACGCAUUCAACGAGUCUAAAACCUGGUCUGAUAGGGCUGGGUAAUCUUUUGAAUGUGCGUCGUGAUUGGGAUAAAUGAUUGUAAUUCUUCAUUUUCAACGAGGAAUGCCUAGUAAACGCAAGUCAUCAGCUUGCAUUGAUUACGUCCCUGCCCUUUGUACACACCGCCCGUCGCUCCUACCGAUUGAAUGAUCCGAUGAAUAUCAUGGACUGAGAGUGUUAGAGUUUUCGGACUUCUACACUUCUCGGGAAGUGAAGUGAAUCUUAUCAUUUAGAGGAAGGAGAAGUCGUAACA